rnacentral:rRNA from 1 species
GUCCACGCUGUAAACGAUGAUCACUAGAUGUUAGACCCGUUUUAGGGUUUAGUGUCGCAGCUAACGCAUUAAGUGAUCCGCCUGGGGAAGUACGGUCGCAAGAUUAAAACUUAAAGAAAUUGACGGGGGUCGCACAAGCGGUGGAACAUGUGGUUUAAUUCGAUACUACGCGAGAACCUUACCUAGACUUGACAUGCUUUUGACCGGUGUUGAAAUACAUCUUUCUGGACUUCGGUUCAGACAAUUGCACAGGUGCUGCAUGGCUGUCGU